GGACAAAGCAAAGCAGGGCCACGCGUUGGGGUGAGCGCAGGUUUGGGCACUCGGAAGCCCUCCUUCGUCCCCACAACCAGAGGGAGGCCCAUAUCCCCUGCGGUGGCCCGGAGGUGAGCCUUCCCUCCCCAAGGCCCCGGUGGGGCUUUCUCUCUUACCAAUCGCACAGCCACUGUCUCCUGCAGCAGGGAACUCAUGUGCUCUUCCCUGCGUGUCAUCUUCCUCCUGCUACAGACACAGGGGAUUUGGUGUGUGAGAAGAGGCCUCGGCCGGCACCAGGACCUCACCCCCUCCCCACGCCCCCCAUCCCAAUGUGGCCACGGGGACCCGAGGCAGCUGCCCGGCCUCUGCUGGAGCUGGGGCGGGCACCUCUGGGUGCCAGACGUGCACAGGCC
rnacentral:lncRNA from 1 species